GACUCUCUUAAGGUAGCCAAA
rnacentral:snRNA from 1 species